GAUGAAGGCCUUCGGGUCGUAAAACUCUGUCCUCAAGGAAGAUAAUGACGGUACUUGAGGAGGAAGCCCCGGCUAACUACGUGCCAGCAGCCGCGGUAAUACGUAGGGGGCUAGCGUUAUCCGGAGUUACUGGGCGUAAAGGGUGCGUAGGCGGUCUUUCAAGUCAGGAGUGAAAGGCUACGGCUCAACCGUAGUAAGCUCUUGAAACUGGGAGACUUGAGUGCAGGAGAGGAGAGUGGAAUUCCUAGUGUAGCGGUGAAAUGCGUAGAUA
rnacentral:rRNA from 1 species